rnacentral:rRNA from 1 species
GACCACACGAAGCUGGAAUCGCUAGUAAUCGCGGAUCAGAAUGCCGCGGUGAAUACGUUCCCGGGUCUUGUACACACCGCCCGUCACACCAUGGGAGUCGGAAACGCCCGAAGCCAGUGACCCAACCUGAGAAGGAGGGAGCUGUCGAAGGCGGGGCCGGUAACUGGGGUGAAGUCGUAACAAGGUAUC